GACGAACGCUGGCGGCGUGCUUAACACAUGCAAGUCGAACGAUGAAGCCCUUCGGGGUGGAUUAGUGGCGAACGGGUGAGUAACACGUGGGCAAUCUGCCCUUCACUCUGGGACAAGCCCUGGAAACGGGGUCUAAUACCGGAUAACACUCCUGCCUGCAUGGGCGGGGGUUAAAAGCUCCGGCGGUGAAGGAUGAGCCCGCGGCCUAUCAGCUUGUUGGUGGGGUAAUGGCCCACCAAGGCGACGACGGGUAGCCGGCCUGAGAGGGCGACCGGCCACACUGGGACUGAGACACGGCCCAGACUCCUACGGGAGGCAGCAGUGGGGAAUAUUGCACAAUGGGCGAAAGCCUGAUGCAGCGACGCCGCGUGAGGGAUGACGGCCUUCGGGUUGUAAACCGUCUUUCUAGCAGGGAAGAAGCGAAAGUGACGGUACCUGCAGAAGAAGCGCCGGC
rnacentral:rRNA from 1 species